UACGGAGGGAGCAAGCGUUACUCGGAAUUAUUGGGCGUAAAGAGCUCGUAGGCGGUCUGUUACGUCUGCUGUGAAAACCCUGGGCUUAACCCUGGGCUUGCAGUGGAUACGGGCAGACUAGAGGCAGGUAGGGGAGAAUGGAAUUCCCGGUGUAGCGGUGAAAUGCGCAGAUAUCGGGAGGAACACCGGUGGCGAAGGCGGUUCUCUGGGCCUGACCUGACGCUGAGGAGCGAAAGCGUGGGGAGCGAACAGG
rnacentral:rRNA from 1 species